GUGGUGUUUCGUCGUAUCAUUCAGUUGUGCCAGUUUCAGAGAGUUUCUCUAUCUCAUUUAUACACACACACAGACACUGAUUUCUUCUCCUACACGGCUCAGGAAACUAUACUGGAUAUAAAAAAGCUAUAUGAAAUGUAUCUUAUGUAUUUGAGUUUAAGAGGAAGCUUUAAUGGGAAGUUGUGACAACCAUUUGUGACAUUUUUGUCACAGGAUACUACAACUCUUGGCUCUACAUAAACUGAAAGAAGAAGCAGAAAAGCAAGGCAUCAACCACCAGCCAGUUACGCUGGGCAAAAACAUCCAAACUUGGUUAUUUAGUAACUUUGGAUCACUGGUUGAACUGAGGAAUUUCAGACCAUUCUUCCCUUAGAUCAAGUCUGGGCAAGUCUAGAUGUGUGAUCCAGGCAGUGAGAACAAACUAAGACAAGUAGAGGCUGAAGAUGCUUUACUUGAAGAGCGCUCUGAUCAGAUGGCUGACUUGCACACUGUCACCUGCUGUCAAGGUCUACACGCAAGUCCCUUCUGCAAGGACACUGACCACCGGAAAUUAGCCAUAUGCAGCAUUGUAUGUGGGCUCUCCUGCAUUGGUAUUAUGUCCCUUAUCUACUCUGUCAAGGCUCGACAGACAAGAAAAACACUUCCAAAUGACAAUGGAUUGGGAGCACAAGGAAAUUCAAAGGUUAAGGAGUACUCAAGAAAAGCUUUGAAAUGGGGAAUAGGGUCAAUUGUGGCCUGGGUGGUUCUAA